rnacentral:misc_RNA from 1 species
GAAAUGCGAUACUUGGUGUGAAUUGCAGAAUUCAGUGAAUCAUCGAAUCUUUGAACGCAUCUUGCGCUCCUUGGUAUUCCGAGGAGCAUGCCUGUUUGAGUAUCAUUAAUUUCUCAACCUUAUUAGCUUUUGCGAAAUAAGGCUUGGAUUGUGGAGGUUUGCUGGCCCCUUACUUGGGGUCAGCUCCUCUGAAAUGCAUUAGCGGAACCGUCUGCGAUCUGCCACAAGUGUGACAACUUAUCUACACUGGCGAGGGGAUUGCUUUCUGAUGUUCAGCUUCUAAUCGUCUAAGGACAAUUUCUUGAAUGCUUGACCUCAAAUCAGGUAGGACUACCCGCUGAACUUAA